CGCCUGCUUGGGCGUCAUGGCAUUGUCGCUUUUGCUCCAUGCUUUGUCGGCAUUGAGCGCGGAAGUUGGCCCCGUGUGCCCUCUCGGGCACAGUCGGUCGAAGAGCGGGUAGUCGGUAAUCGUCGAGCACGAUGGACGUUGGUCGUCGCGAGCGAGAACUGAACGUCGUCCUCGUCGUUUUGGGAUGAGCCCUCAAGAGAGCCUGCGUGAUUGAUGAAUGAGGAGGCGCGCGAAAGAAACGCGUCAAUCAUUCGCGUGCGGCCCCAAGUCAGGCGAGACCACCCGCCGAGUUUAAGCAUAUAAAUAAGCGGAGGAGGAGAAACUUACGAGGAUUCCCCUAGUAACGGCGAGUGAACCGGGAUCAGCCCAG
rnacentral:misc_RNA from 1 species